rnacentral:rRNA from 1 species
GACGAACGCUGGCGGCAUGCCUAAUACAUGCAAGUCGAACGCUUUAAUUUCACCGGGUGCUUGCACCCAUCGAAGUUAAGGAGUGGCGGACGGGUGAGUAACACGUGGGUAACCUGCCCAUAAGAGGGGGAUAACAUUCGGAAACGGAUGCUAAUACCGCAUAUUUCUAAUCGUCUCCUGACGGAUGGAAGAAAGGUGGCUUCGGCUGCCGCUUAUGGAUGGUCCCGCGGCGUAUUAGCUAGUUGGUAAGGUAACGGCUUACCAAGGCGACGAUACAUAGCCGACCUGAGAGGGUGAUCGGCCACACUGGGACUGAGACACGGCCCAG